rnacentral:lncRNA from 1 species
AAAUAGAAAAUCUUACUAUAUAAUAUAAAUCAAUGUUUUACAGUAUGUCAAGAUCACAUUAAUAACAUACAGUGCAUUUUAAUGUUGCGACAGAGGUUAAGCUAAGGCUAAAAGUGCUGAGAGCUCCUUCAAAAGGCAGCUCCUAACAGUAUCUUCACGUCAGAAGUCCUAACACAGCAACCCUGAUUGUUUGUACUGAUAUUUAACUUGAAAGAACAUCAAGAGAAAUUAUCAGGAAAUAGUUGCUGAAGAAUGGAAGAGCUUAGUUCAGAAUCAGAGAAGAGAGGAGAGCCAUUCAGCAAGGAUGAAGUCAAGCAAAAAGCAAGUAGUAUGCCAUCUGGGUCGUUGCGGACUGUGUUGAAGUAUUCAGAUUGGAAGGAUGUUUUGUUGAUGGCACUUGGGUCAAUAGGGAGUGUUGCAGAUGGAUCAGCCAUGUCAUUGAUCAUGAUAAUUCUCAGUGACCUCAUGAACAGUUACGGCGGUUCAUCUGUCACCAUCGAAGACAUAAACAAGGUUGGAUCACAGACACAUUACUAGUCUUUGGAAUUAUAUUAUAAAAGAAAAAACAUCAGAAACAAAGGUAUCUAUGUAGAAAGUUACUGACCUUUUUGUACAUGGUAACAAUGCAGUUUGCUUUGUCCUUGACUUAUGUUGCUGUUGGUGUGGCUUCAGGCUCAUUUCUAGGUACUUUUCUCUCUUUUGCUUACAUAAAAACACAUAGAGCUUAUGUGAGCUGAUUUGCAGAUACUAUACAAUAUGUGCGUGAUUCACUCGUUCUGUAUUGGUCUUUGAUCAUCAACAGAAGGAUUCUGUUGGGCACGCACGGCAGAAAGGCAAACUUUUCGACUUCGCAGACAAUAUUU